CAAAAUGUCAACAAAGCGACACCAUUUACUGCCUUAGUAACGUAACUUUAUUCCAAGUUCAAAUGUAUUUUUUUCUUAAUCAAUCGUAAUAAUUGGUAACUCACAAGGAUAACCGAUAAUUGCUGUAAUAAUAUAACCUGUACUAUUGUUACGGAUGAUCGCUGAUAAUCUGCUACAGAACAGGUUUUCUUCAGUAUCCUGUAAAUUUUCCUCAGUAACAUAUUCUAGAUAUAUUGGAAUGGCUGCUUUUACUGAAAAGAAGAUGGAAAGAAAUAAAGUUCUGUUUGGUGCCUUCCCAUGUUGGGGUGGCUGGGAAUGAGAAAGCUGACCAACUUGCAAAGUCGCCAGUAAACUCCACAGAACCCACAAGAUGCCUACUACCAUAUCGGGAUUUAUAUCCUCUAGCAGGUCAGAGAAUUAAAAAGAUGUUGGCAGUCCCAUUGAGAGGAUAUUUUAACUAAUCAAAAAAUGCGCAGUCAGUUCUAGAGGUUCACUCAUAUUCUUCCCACCAAUCAGUGAGUCUUCCAUAUGUAAAGGACCUAGGGUUUGUAUAUCGCGUAGGAACAAAUCACAGUUUUUGAAAGUAAAUUGUAUUUUUCCUAACUACAAACCUGAGGUCCUUUUGAUUAUUGCCCACCUCAUGCCACCCCUCUAUCUGAAACCUGGGCCGAAAGGCAAAGUGGAGUGUUGACAUCUGGCGGAGCCUACCCACCUACCACAAGGUAGUUACUGCCUAACCACCUUGUUCAAGAAUAUAACGGCUGUAUUCCAGCCUAUGCUGAAAGUGAUUCCUUAUGUAAAGGACCUCAGGUUUAUAUAGUUAGGAAAAAUACAAUUUUCUUUCAAAAAUUGUGAUAUUUGUUUGUGAAUUCUUGGUAUGUAUGAGUGUAGUUGUUGUUUUGUUUAUACAGACAGUCAGCAGUUUCAAUGGUGGUCCCGUUUCUAUGCCACGUAGUAAUCUAGAGUGACGUAAAAAAAAAUGUAUUAAAAAUGAGAAAUAAAGUUAUGAAAGCUUCGUUCUUCCUACAUUAUAUACAAACCCACAGUCCUUUACAUCAGGAUUGUUCAUACCCAAUAUACUAACCUGAGGUUCUUUACAUUAGGAAUAACUUCCAGCAUAGGCUGGAAAACAGCUGCUGAAGUUUCAGACAAGGUGAUUAGGCAGUUAACUGGGUGUAAACAUUCCAAUUUGCUUUGGCUGCUGUCGAGUGAGGACGUGUGUUUCACCUCUGCCUGACCACUGUUGUUUACCUUUUUCACCUGCGGUGAGAUCUUUCCUCAUCUUUAAUUGUGUUUUAUUUGGUGUAUACUUGUGCUUGCAUUGGAAUCUUAAGAUUUACUGAAGCCUGAAAAGUCCUUCUCCCAGGGAGUGUGUCUUUUAGGUGGUGUAAGAAAUGUGAGAGUUUUUUCUCCACAGUUGAUGUGGACCCUCACGCCCUUUGCGCUAAAUGUCGAGGGAGUGAGUGUACUAGAAACUUAUCUUGUAAUGUGUGUCCUGGUCGUUCGAGCAGUGGGGGAGGUAUGAAGGAAGGAAGCGAUCUUGGGGGAAGGCUGCCAAGGCUUUGUCAGAGGGUUAUACGCCCCUAAGAACUCCCUUGGUGGCUGAUCCUUUGUCAUCCUUCCUUUCUCCUCGUAAGCUCCCCCGACUUGCUGUUUCCUCUUGGGGGGAUAUUUCCCCUUCCUCUCCUUCAUCUGAUUCAUCAGGCAAAGAAGAUGGGAGCGGAGUGGAUGACAAUAGUGCUCGCUCCAAAGGGGAUCCUUCCCCUUCGGAAUGAGGAGAGUCUCCCUUCACUAACCAGACUUUCAGGUGUGGUGGCUCCAUGUUCUAGGGAUUUGCAUAAGGCAUGGGUGGAGUUGGGCCUUCCUGGAAUACCAUCUGUAUGGGGCCUUGUCUCCCAUUUCUCAUCGGCCCCUGUGACUCAUGUGACUGUGGUGGUGACAACACCUACCUUGUCAGUGCCAAGCUAUGUAGCUCCUCCUCACUUAGCUUAUUCCCAUCACCCCACCAGUGUGACUCCCUCUGUGGUGAUGGAGACACAUCCCCAUAUUCUGAGGCAGGACAUGUCCAUGCCCCUCCCACCGGGAUACUUUGUGUUUUAUCCCCCAGCCACUUUUGUCUCUGUGGCCCCUUGAGCACUGUCACCUUUAGA